CUUUAUCAUCAUGAAAACUUGUUCUUAGUUACAAAUCACUUUUUUAGUAUUUCAGGCUCAGUAACUGGAAAGGUAUUAUUUCCACCUCAGGAAAAUGAAUAACAGCCUUUAAACCAGCUAUUCUGGUUCACAUAAGAAGCUCCAUCCUGCCCGUGGUAGUGAAAGUCUGUGGAGGAUGGACUAAAGAGCUCAUGAGCUAAUGGAACUCAUUGCAGACAUAAGCAAUCAUGCAGUCCUGUUCCAUUGAAUCCAGAGUGAAAUGAUUAAUAUGGACGAGAACAUAUAGACAAUAAGGUAACCACAACUUCCAGCUAAAUGCACAACAGGCUGAUAAAGCUGUUUGUACACUGGACAAUGAACUGCAUAAGAGAUGUAGUUCUGUUUGUUUCUUCAGGAAAACCUCCUAAGAGCAGAGAAGAUGGCAAAGAAGAAAUCCCAGCUAUUUGAAAACCACAGGAGGCUGAGCCCUCUGAUAGACAAGACAUUUCCUGAAAUUCCCUAGGCAUAAAACUGGAAACGUUAUAUAGAGGUGAUAGGAGGAAACGUGGCUUCUCAUUUUGGAAGACUUUCUCUCGCAUUCUUUUUAAAACACUGACUUUCAAGAUAAUGAUGUAGAGAUUUGUACACAUUGCAACAUCCUUUUAUUGGGCAUUAACAGUUCUACGAGGCUGAUAUAACAUCACACUACUGAUAUCUCUGCAGAAAAUAAGAGCCAUCAAUACCUAUCAAAUAACCUUUGAGUUGAAGUAUGGAUGAAAUUUUAGAGCUACAGCCAUGAGGUGUGGGCAGUGAAGACCUUG
rnacentral:lncRNA from 1 species